ACAUAGGGUGCGAGCGUUAUUCGGAUUUAUUGGGCGUAAAGAGCUCGUAGGCGGUUCAACAAGUCGGGUGUUAAACCCCCAGGCUCAACCUGGGGCCGCCACCCGAAACUGUUGUGACUAGAGUUUGGUAGGGGAUCACGGAAUUCCUGGUGUAGCGGUGGAAUGCGCAGAUAUCAGGAGGAACACCAGUAGCGAAGGCGGUGAUCUGGGCCAAUACUGACGCUGAGGAGCGAAAGCGUGGGGAGCGAACAGGAUUAGAUACCCUGGUAGUCCACGCCGUAAACGGUGGGCACUAGGUGUGGGGACUUUUCAACGGUUUCCGCGCCGCAGCUAACGCAUUAAGUGCCCCGCCUGGGGAGUACGGUCGCAAGACUA
rnacentral:rRNA from 1 species